GCUCCCGGCGGCCGCGCAGCCAAGGCUCCGCUUCCAGAGGGCACGAGAGGGAUAGAAAAACCCUCACAGCACCGAGCCCGGCCGCUCAAGGGCCGCCCAAGUUUCUCUCCCUGGGGGAAGGCGGUCUCACUGCCGGCUCCCCGCCGAGGAAGAGGCUGCCCGCCCCGAGGCGCCCGGAGAGCAGGACUCGGACGGCGACGGGAGUCCCUCAGCCCGGCACGGCUCCCCCGGCGCGGCGGGGGCCGCGGGCGCUCCCUUGGGAGGCGCCGCCUCCCACCCCCGGGGGCCCUGCCCGGAUGGGCGCCGGAGUUGGUUCCAGUUUCCCCUCCUCGACUGAAAUCCGCCGCAGUCUUUCUCCAUCGCUACUGUUCUUCCUUUUUCAGCCCGGGGGGUUGUUUUGCCGUGUAAAUCCAUUCAUCCUCCAAAUGCAAGCAUUACAUGGCCCUGAUAAAUCACUAGCAAGACAAACUAGUGCCGCUGAGAGAAACACUUCAUUACGAGUUGGGCUAGAAGACAGCAACAACAAUUCUAUGAGAGCAGUAGGAGCCUGGUAACAGGCAGAGAGGAAGUGCAGUAAACUUGAAGAGAAACCGAGCCUCUGGUGUACACAGUUUCCAUACAAGUCAAGACAAGCCUGAUCAAUGACGGUUGGAGUAGAAGCGGACUAACAACAUAUACAGCAGAGAACUUGGACUAUUUUGGACUUUUUCAUGCUAUGAUCAGCCGAUUAGUUGUUAACAUUCAAAAUCACAGACACAGAACUUUUAAGGUCACAGAAUGAUUGAAGUGGGAAGGAACAUCUGCAGAUUGUCUAGUCCAACCCUCUGUUGAAAGCAGAGUCAGAUACUGCAGGUUGCUUAGAGCUGGAUAUCUUCAAGGACGGAAUCUCCACAGCUUCCCUUUGCUGCCUGUUCCAGUGUCUGACCACCCUCACAAUAAGUGGGUUUUUUACAUUCAGAUGGAAUUUUAUCAGAGAAUGAGAGUUCAGUGACUAACAAGUCUGCUAGGCCUUGAUGCAUCAGUACAGCAGAAACACAUCCUGGAGAGUCAAUUGCAUAUUGAAGUUAAGUGAGAAGCACACCACAUGGUUAUCCAGCCCAUUGUCAAAUAAGGCAGCUGUCUGCCGUUCAAACUCUCUUACUCUAUUACAUAAUUCCACGAGGCAACUUAUGGCCGAUUAUGUACAAGCUCAUUGUUUGGCAUGAUUUGCUGAAGCAAGAGCAAAGGCCUUCAUCUAUCUCAGCUUCAGCAACGCCACCAGCCGAGGCAUUCUAAAUACUAAUAUGAACGCUAAGCUGAGACAAAUAACAUUAUCACGAUGUUUUUUCUCUUCCUUGUUUAAGGUCUGACCUGUUCUGCUUGCAUACGGAAGCUGGGCCAAGAAAGAUUCCACCUUUUGAGAUAAAUUAGUAUUGAAAGUAGUAAACCUUGAAUUAAUUAAAGAGUCUGAUUUCAGUGACUCAGGAAUUCCAGAGAAGUGAUUCUGUCAUCUUAAACCUUCUGUUGAGUAAUUCUACUUGAAGUAGCCUUAUGUUCAGAACUCUGUCUUUAGUUCUAUGUUAGCCCUUCCUGUAAGUAUACACUCAUGUUUCCAGUGUGAUGUUAAUAUUUGAUUUACAAAUGCAGGAAAUGUACUUGGAAUACACUGGUUUCCACAUUUAUUCCUAGCAUGUCUAAGUACUUCUAGAAUGAAGUAGCUAAAAAAGUUAGAAAAGAGAGGCACCCUGAAGUGUUUUUUACAUUGGGGUUUACAUCAAACAGGCAGAGGAAGACAUGGCUGCUCUUCAGAAGGCUUUAACAAAGGUCUCAGGUGUUGCUUCACCUACCACUAAACCAGGUGAAACCCUGUCAGGUCUAUCAAUAUACCAAUUUAUGUGGCCACACCCUAGUUCACUACUUAUCAAAGUGGGUUAGGUUAGAAACACAAGUAUUUGGAGGUAUUUAAUUAAUCAAACCACUUUAAAAAAUGAGGCUAAGAGCAUAAGAGAUAUAGUGAGGGGUUUGGGGAAAUGCUAAGCUCCAGCUAAUGAGGCAGGGCAGUAAUCUGUAGCUGGGGCAGUAGGUCUCAUUUAGCUUCUGCCAGAACUGGCUGUACUUGGACUACAGCACUUGUCCUGCCUUCUUGCUGUCAGACAAGAAAGCACCUGCAGUGCUGCCCCAUUUCAGUGGCAGUUUUGCUAGGUCAGGGGACCCCUCCACCCCUCUGACCAUAAAAAUGCUCUGAAAAUUGCUGCCCUCAAUUCUACUGGCCCAGUCUUUCAAAAAGUCACUCUCUAUUUCAGUUUGGGCAAACCAAAAUGCACCUGCAAAGACCUGUCAUCGAAAGUGAGUAGGCCUGGCUCAUUUCAACACAGGUUGGUUGGGGAGCAACUGGACAAGUUACACUGGCAGAACCUGGGAGGUGGAAAUGUAUGGUGGGGGUGGUAAUGAGCAGCUAGGGGUUCCCUAAGUGUUCUUCUGGUAGCCUAGCUACAGCCAGAACUAGCUGUGUGUACACAGGAAACCAGCGUCCCUGAGCAUCCUCUUUUGUUCAUGGAGAGAGUUGGGUGGCUAUAAGACAUAGUUCAUCCUGCUAAGGUUCUGAAUCACCCUUUGAAAUUGUAAAAUGCACAUAAAUAUAAGAAAGUGAUUCAUAAAUCUAGAUUAUUAUUUUUCUGAUAGUCUAGAGAAGCAUUUCCAUCACAGUUCUCUGAAAUACUAUAUCUGAUUGACACAAACAGGGGAAAAGGUUUUUUUAAAAUUAAUAAAUUUUAAGACAAGUUUAGGUUAGUGAUAGGUUCUCUGCUAACAUACAAUGAGAAAAAAAAAUUAUCUAUUGAGUAUUUUCUGUCCCACAGCAUUAAACCCUGCUGUCAAUAGUAAGAAUUUAACUGUAGGGACUAUUACUAGAAAAAGCCAAAUUAGAUCAGCUAAAAUCUAAUCGUUGUUAAAAAAAUUUCUAAAUGUGGUAGGUGUACAUUUAUUUAUGUUCCUAAAAUGUAAGGAGUUGUGGGGUUUUUUUGUUUAUGCACUGUAUAAAGUUCAUCCUAAUUGAAAAUGUGAGGAGUCCACCUUGACUAAAGACAAAAUGCUGCUACAACACAGGAACAAUGUUUCUGAACUUGUAAUUUAAUGACACUUUGAACAGCUCAAGUCAGAGCUCCUACUGUUCUGUUGAAAUUCUGGACCAGCUAAACAAAACCAGCAGUUUCUCUCAAUCCCCCAUUACUAGCUCUCUUCAGUCUUUGCUUAGAUUUUCUCUGCAAUCAGUUCAUCUGCCUCAAACUAAAAAAGUAGAGAGAAUGCAAAAGAACACAAACUGUAGCUGCAGUGGUCUGGCUCAGAGCUCCUGAGCUUGCAGCAAUGAAAUUUCUCUUUCCUUUACACUGAGGCUGCAUCUGCUUCUGGGUAAGAAUCUGCUGUCAGAUGUUAAAUAUGAAACAGUCUUUUGUAAGGCUGUACUAGGGAUGUAGAGGUUAGUUUACUGGCUAUUUUGUAGCAAGGAAGUAUUGUAAAUAUAUAGUAAGUAUUUCCAUUUUCCUUGCAUAUGUUUUCCUGGGCUAACUGUGCUUAUCAGUUUUUGUGUGUAUUUAAUGAUAAAUAUAUUAAUAAAUGAUUGAUUCAGCUGA